GACGAACGCUGGCGGCGUGCCUAAUACAUGCAAGUCGAACGCACAGUUUAUACCUUAGCUUGCUACACCAUAGACUGUGAGUUGCGAACGGGUGAGUAACGCGUAGGUAACCUGCCUGGUAGCGGGGGAUAACUAUUGGUAACGCUAGCUAAUACCGCAUGAUAUUGAUUAUUGCAUGAUAAUUAAUUUAAAGGUUCAAUUUAACCCCUACCAGAUGGACGUUCGUUGUAUUAGCUAGUAGGUGAGGUAACGGCUCACCUAGGGGAAGAUACAUAGCCGAGCCGGAGAGGAUGAUGGCUCACACUGGAACGGGAACAGGCCCCGACCUCCUAGGGGAGGAGCAAGAGGGAAAUAUCGGCAAUGGAGGGAAGGCUGACCGAAGCACGGCGCGGGGGGGGAGAAGGGUCUCGGGACGUAAAGGUCCGUUGUAUGGGGAGAAAGGGUGUGAGAGUGGAAAGUUCACGCUGUGACGGUAUCUUAACAGAAAGGGACGGCUAACUACGUG
rnacentral:rRNA from 1 species